rnacentral:rRNA from 1 species
AUUGAACGCUGGCGGCAGGCCUAACACAUGCAAGUCGAAUGGUAACAGGAAACAGCUUGCUGUUUCGCUGACGAGUGGCGGACGGGUGAGUAAUGUCUGGGAAACUGCCUGAUGGAGGGGGAUAACUACUGGAAACGGUAGCUAAUACCGCAUAACGUCGCAAGACCAAAGAGGGGGACCUUCGGGCCUCUUUCCAUCAGAUGUGCCCAGAUGGGAUUAGCUAGUAUGUGGGGUACCGGCUCACCUAGGCGACGAUCCCUAGCUGGUCUGAGAGGAUGACCAGCCACACUGGAACUGAGACACGGUCCAGACUCCUACGGGAGGCAGCAGUGGGGAAUAUUGCACAAUGGGCGCAAGCCUGAUGCAGCCAUGCCGCGUGUAUGAAGAAGGCCUUCGGGUUGUAAAGUACUUUCAGCGGGGAGGAAGGGAGUAAAGUUAAUACCUUUGCUCAUUGACGUUACCCGCAGAAGAAGCACCGGCUAACUCCGUG